rfam:Nicotiana attenuata strain TT chromosome 10, whole genome shotgun sequence.
UGGACAAAUUAUUGUAUUCAACUGUAUCACGACGUGAAAUAGGGGAUUACACUGUUUUUAAACGAAAAGUGAAUCAGUUAACAUAAUAGACUCCU